UGGGAGUCUGCCCUUAGGUUCGGAAUAACAGUUAGAAAUGACUGCUAAUACCGGAUGAUGUCUUCGGACCAAAGAUUUAUCGCCUAGGGAUGAGCCCGCGUCGGAUUAGCUAGUUGGUGGGGUAAAGCCUACCAAGGCGACGAUCCGUAGCUGGUCUGAGAGGAUGAUCAGCCACACUGGGACUGAGACACGGCCCAGACUCCGUACGGGAGGCAG
rnacentral:rRNA from 1 species